UACGGGGGGGGCAAGCGUUGUUCGGAAUUACUGAGCGUAAAGGGCUCGUAGGCGGCCAACUAAGUCGGAUGUGAAAUCCCCAGGCUUAACCUGGGAACUGCAUCCGAUACUGGAUGGCUUGAAUCCGGGAGAGGGAUGCAGAAUUCCAGGUGUAGCGGUGAAAUGCGUAGAUAUCUGGAGGAAUACCGGUGGCGAAGGCGGCAUCCUGGACCGGCAUUGACGCUGAGGAGCGAAAGCUAGGGGAGCAAACGGG
rnacentral:rRNA from 1 species